UACGGAGGAUGCGAGCGUUAUCCGGAUUUAUUGGGUUUAAAGGGUGCGUAGGCGGAUCGUUAAGUCAGUGGUCAAAUUGAGGGGCUCAACCCCUUCCCGCCAUUGAAACUGGCGAUCUUGAGUGGAAGAGAAGUAUGCGGAAUGCGUGGUGUAGCGGUGAAAUGCAUAGAUAUCACGCAGAACUCCGAUUGCGAAGGCAGCAUACCGGCGCCCGACUGACGCUGAAGCACGAAAGCGUGGGUAUCGAACAGG
rnacentral:rRNA from 1 species